rnacentral:rRNA from 1 species
CCCUUAGAUGUUCUGGGCCGCACGCGCGCUACACUGACUGGUGCAACAAGUGUCUGACCUUGGCUCGAGAGGCCUGGGCAACCUUUGAACGCCAGUCGUGCUGGGGAUAGAUUCUUGCAAUUAUUAAUCUUCAACGAGGAAUUCCUAGUAAACGCAAGUCAUCAGCUUGCAUUGAUUACGUCCCUGCCCUUUGUACACACCGCCCGUCGCACCUACCGAUUGAGUGAUCCGGUGAAUAAUUCGGACCUGCGAGUCUUGCGGUUCGCUGCUUGGCUUGUGGGAAAGUCUAGUGAACCUUAUCACUUAGAGGAAGGAGAANUCGUAACA